rnacentral:rRNA from 1 species
GGGUCAGUAGGUUGGUCGUGCCACCGGUACGUACUGGUCACACUGAUUCCUCCUUCCUGAAGAACCGUAAUGCCAUUUAUUUGGUGUUGCGGGGAAACAGGACUGUUACUUUGAAAAAAUUAGAGUGUUUAAAGCAAGCUAACGCUUGAAUACAUUAGCAUGGAAUAAUGAAAUAGGACGAUCGAUCCUAUUUUGUUGGUUUCUAGGAUUGACGUA